AUACGAAGGGGGCUAGCGUUGCUCGGAAUUACUGGGCGUAAAGGGAGCGUAGGCGGACUGUUUAGUCAGAGGUGAAAGCCCAGGGCUCAACCUUGGAAUUGCCUUUGAUACUGGCAGUCUUGAGUACGGAAGAGGUAUGUGGAACUCCGAGUGUAGAGGUGAAAUUCGUAGAUAUUCGGAAGAACACCAGUGGCGAAGGCGACAUACUGGUCCGUUACUGACGCUGAGGCUCGAAAGCGUGGGGAGCAAACAGGAUUAGAAACCCGAGUAGUCC
rnacentral:rRNA from 1 species